AAACUGGAGGUCAGUAAACUGAUUAGUGGGUCAAUUAUGGGUCCUCUUUUAGGGCUAUAGACUGUUUAAUCUACUGAGCCAACAGCCUGGUUGGGCAGAUGAUGCGGGUGGUCGUGUCGCGUUCGUCUGGAGCAGAAGCAGCAGUUUUGAGGUUUUACUGUAAAUGAGUCAGUGUGAAGGAAGUGGUGCCCGUUGGGUUUGUAGCCGAUGUGAUGAGGACCUGCAGCAUAUUUAGUUCAUUAAGUGUGUUUGUCUUCUGAAAGAUUUCUACUUUCUGAAGUAUUUUUUUUUUUGUCAAUUAGUUGGAAAAAGAUGUUUGCAAAUGAAUCGCUAAUUGAAAAGCUACUGGACAACAGGAGGAAGUUGUAAAUGGUUAAUGUAAAUGUGAACAGUCAAUAGAGUGUAAAGAUUAGCUACACUUAAAUAAAAAGUGUUACGACUCAUCAUCCAUGAUCCAAGUACUAACUGUUCCUUUUCCUUUCUAUCAAUUUCAAAAUCAGUUCAUUUAUAAGAACAAACGGUUAAAUUAUUAUAUAUUUUGUUUUAUAGUCAAAAAAAUAGUGGCAGGUUAAAACAAACCACUGAAGCAAAGUACAAUUUAAAAUACCAGUUUUUUUGUACAGGUUAGUUGGGUUGAAUUGAAAUGAUAAUUUCUUAUAUACUGUAUAUUAAUAUACUUUCUGUUCCUCCAAGCAGCUGUAUUGCGUGUAAUUGCUGUAGCGUGUACAGGAUGUUUACCAUAUCUGGAUCCUGCCCUCCAUAGGUACCAAGCCCUAUCUGCACCCUAUGGUUUUCACCCCCUUUGUUAUCCUCACAAAAGAUCACCAUAACCAUGACAAUCUCAUCUACAAGUGCAGAGGCUGCAGCAGAGCCAGAUAUAAAGAGACAAUCAAUGAGUAUGCCAGGGACAAACAGUGGGUCGGGGAGGGGGUGGGGGUGGGGCGCAAGUGUGAGAAAGUAAAUAGUAAAAAUUGGACGAGACGGGGGAUAGAAGCGGGCAGACAUAUUUACAUACAGGACUUCAUCGCUCCCUGUGAACGUGACCGACGCUCAGCGGUCCCAUGGGCGUCGCGCUCCACACAACCACACGUCUGGAGCCGGAAACGGCCUCCUGCGCUCGGGCUCCUCCAGAAGCUCCUGAGACGGUGGCAGCGAUGGAGGCCUAAAAAAACGCAGAAAGAAAAUCAAUUUGUGGGACGGGUGCAAGUCAGCAGAAAAGCUGGGUGAAGUAGCUGCACAAGCACUCUGCAGGAAUUUCCAUAUCCGUUGUUCAGUGAACCUCUAAAAUGUACAGAAACCACCCAGAUACUGAGUUUAGCUAAGAAUUGCAGGAUUGGUCUACAUUAAUGAUGUUGUUCAGAGCUCAGGAGGUGAUAAAGCUGAACAUACUGUACAUCCAGGCCUGAUUUCCACACUUCUGCUGAGAUGCUGAUACUUAACUGUGGUGCAUCCUGAAUUAAUAAUGUGUGCAGAUUCAUGGUAUUGUUGUGUGUCUUUGUAGGAGAUGGACGGAUGGUCUGAUCUGAGACACAUGGUGGUGCAGUGGCACAGAGCCCGUAUGUAAUCCUGCAACAGCGGCUCUGCAAAGGCAGAGGGAAGGAACAGUUUGCAUGGAGAUUUAAUAGAAAGGCAAAGCCAGUGUGCACAAGUACUUCAGAGUCAUUUCCAAGCCCACUGUGGACACGUAACACGCUGUUCUCAAGUCCAGAUUUUGUACAAUCUGCAGCCGGUGCGAGUCAUGUUCCAACGUGUCUCAUGUUUCCAGUCAGAAACAGCACAGACCCGCUGAAACGCUGAUUCUUCAGGUCUAGCUGUCCAUUGCAGAGGAGUUUCAUUAGUGUUGAUCUCAGGCAUGGCUCAGUAUGCGUCCACACACACACACACACACACACACUCACUCACACACACACACACACACACACACACCGCAGUCCACCGACAAGGGGGUGAUGUCAUUCUGUCUGCUGCAGCACCAGCAGAGAAGGCAAGCGAGGGAGAAAUGCAAGAACGAGGGGAAGACGCAGGGAGUUUAGGCAUCGUUCUAAUGGUGUGAUUAAUGUGCCUGUUCACUGCUGCUCAGCCCUGGAGCCUGACGUUUGUCUGCGUUCUAUGGGAAUAAGCAGAGGGACCCAUUCAUCUAAAUGGUAGCGGAGUCCAGCCGAACCUUACAGUGUGUGUGUGUGUGUGUGUGUGUGUGUGUGUGUGUGUGUGUGUGUGUGUGUGUGUGUGUGUGUGUGUGUGUGUGUGUGUGUGUGUGUGUGUGUGUGUGUGUGU